UACGGGGGGAGCAAGCGUUGUUCGGAUUUACUGGGCGUAAAGGGCGCGUAGGCGGCCUCUGCAAGUCGACUGUGAAAUCUCCGGGCUUAACCCGGAAAGGUCAGCCGAUACUGCAGGGCUAGAGUGCAGAAGGGGCAACUGGAAUUCUCGGUGUAGCGGUGAAAUGCGUAGAUAUCGGGAGGAACACCUGUGGCGAAAGCGGCUCACUGGACCACAACUGACGCUGAGGCGCGAAAGCUAGGGGAGCAAACAGG
rnacentral:rRNA from 1 species